rnacentral:rRNA from 1 species
GGGAGUGAAAUAGAACCUGAAACCCUGCACUUACAAGCUGUGGAAGCACAUUUCUUGUGUGACCGCGUACUUUUUGUAGAACGGGCCAACGAGUUACGUUAAGUAGCAAGGUUAAGCACUUAAGGUGCGGAGCCGUAGCGAAAGCGAGUUUUAACUGAGCGUUCAGUUACUUGACGUAGACCCGAAACCGGGCGACCUACCCAUGGGCAGGAUGAAGCGAAAGUAAAAUUUCGUGGAGGUCCGAACCCACGAGCGUUGAAAAGCUCGGGGAUGACUUGUGGGUAGCGGUGAAAUUCCAAUCGAGCCCGGAGAUAGCUGGUUCUCCCCGAAAUAGCUUUAGGGCUAGCCUCAAGGUGAGAGAUACGGAGGUAGAGCACUGAAUGUCCUAGGGGGUAUUGCACCUACCGAAGACUAUCAAACUCCGAAUGCCGUCAUCUUAUACUUGGGAGUCAGACUGUGGGUGAUAAGAUUCAUAG